AUGCCUCUCCUUCCUCUUCGUCUCCACUGCCAGGGAAGGAGCAGCUCACAGAUGGUGCCUGCUUUUCCCAGCUCACCUCAGCCCACGGGCAGUGAGAUGCAGAAGAGAAAACCCACAAGAUUCUGUUUCUUGGGGUCCCCUCCUUUAUUAAAAAUGCUUGGGGAGAGGGACACAAAAAGUAUUUCUGGUUUCAUGUUCUCAGCAGCUCCAUUUGGCAACAGAGACGGAGCUGAAAACUCCUUUAGCAUUGCUGAAAGGAAACAGAAUCCAAAGAGAAAAAAUGUGCUCAGCAAAAGGUGCAGAGAGAUGUGGAUCUGCAGUGCUGUGGUCUGGGAGGAACAGAACCACCCCGGGCCCUGCUGCAGCCUCCUGUGCUCCCCAGUCCAUGAGGGACAGGAAAGGAGGGGCUGGAGCGAGAAAUCCCGCCCUUUUCUCCCCUCACGUUUCCCGCCCUUUUCUCCCCUCACAUUUUCCCGCCCUUUUCUCCCCUCACAUUUUCCCGCCCUUUUCUCCCCUCAUGCCGGCCGCCAUUUUGUCUGCAGCAGCAGAGCUGUCCCUGCCGGGGGGAAGAGUCCUUCGGGGUGGAUGUGCUGCCAGCAGGGCAGGCAGCCUGCGAGGGAUGCACAGGGAAUGUGUGCCCAGGGUCAAACUGCAAAAUUUCCCUGGAUGGGAGAAGCCCCUGGAGUGGAAAGGGACCGGGAGCAUCCUGCUGACCCCACGGACAGACCUCAGGUGUUAACACAGGGCUGGCUCCUGUGCUGCUCUGCAGGGCAGGACGAGCCCAUCCUGCAUCCAUCCCAGCUGCUGCUCCAUGGAAAUGUGUCCAGGAGAAGAGCAGCGAGGGGGGGAGCACCGAGGGGCUGCGGGAGAAGGGAGGAGGAUCCAGCCAGAGCCAAAAUGAGCCUCAUGUUUUCCAGGCAGAGGGGCUGGCAGCUGAGGACUCUCAUUUACACCCCAGGAGCUGCUGCAGACUGCAGUGGUGGCACGGCCGGGCACAGGGCAGGGAAUAUCGACCUGUGCAUCCUCCAAAGAUGGGAAGAGCAGAGGCUCAUCAAUCCCAGUCACCAAGGCAGGGAGAGUUAUUGCCUGGCUCACACAGACUCCCAAUUGCUUUGCCAGUUUGGCUCCAGCCCUCCAGUGAGUCAGAAUGCAGCCACUCCAUCACUCCUGAGCAGGGCUGGCAGUGCCAAAGCUCCAGCCCCAGAGAAGCCCAGCAGAGCCUCCCUGCUCCUGCAGGGCCAGGUCAGGCUGGCUGGGCUCCCUCUGCAGGCACUGGAGCAGGGGAUGAGUUCCUCCCAGGAGUCACUGACCCUUCUCUAA
rnacentral:lncRNA from 1 species